GACUCAGUAGCUCAGCAGGUAGAGCACAACACUUUUAAUGUUGGGGUCCUGGGUUCGAGCCCCAGCUGGGUCACCA
rnacentral:tRNA from 2 species